rnacentral:rRNA from 1 species
UACAGAGGGGGCGAGCGUUGUUCGGAAUUACUGGGCGUAAAGGGCGCGUAGGCGGCCCGCUAAGUCGAACGUGAAAUCCCCAGGCUCAACCUGGGAACUGCGUCCGAUACUGGCAGGCUUGAAUCCGGGAGAGGGAUGUGGAAUUCCAGGUGUAGCGGUGAAAUGCGUAGAUAUCAGGAGGAACACCAAUGGCGAAGGCAGCUCGCUGGGACGUGACUGACGCUGAGACGCGAAAGCGUGGGGAGCAAACAGG